rnacentral:rRNA from 1 species
AGUGAACGCUGGCGGUAGGCCUAACACAUGCAAGUCGAACGGCAGCACAGUAAGAGCUUGCUCUUACGGGUGGCGAGUGGCGGACGGGUGAGGAAUACAUCGGAAUCUACUUUUUCGUGGGGGAUAACGUAGGGAAACUUACGCUAAUACCGCAUACGACCUACGGGUGAAAGCAGGGGAUCUUCGGACCUUUCGCGAUUGAAUGAGCCGAUGUCGGAUUAGCUAGUUGGCGGGGUAAAGGCCCACCAAGGCGACGAUCCGUAGCUGGUCUGAGAGGAUGGUCGGCCACACUGGAACGGAGACACGGUCCAGGCGCCUACGGUAGGCAGCAGUGGGGAAUAUUGGACAAUGGGCGCAAGCCUGAUCCAGCCAUACCGCGUGGGUGAAGAAGGCGUUCGGGUUGUAAAGCCCUUUUGUUGGGAAAGAAAAGCAGCAGGUUAAUACCCCGCUGUUCUGACGGUACCCAAAGAAUAAGCACCGGCUAACUUCGUG